rnacentral:rRNA from 1 species
CAGGAAGCCGUCUGAACCCUUCGGGGGGACGACGGUGGAAUGAGCGGCGGACGGGUGAGUAACACGUAAAGAACCUGCCCAUAGGUCUGGGAUAACCACGAGAAAUCGGGGCUAAUACCGGAUGUGUCAUCGGACCGCAUGGUCCGCUGAUGAAAGGCGCUCCGGCGUCGCCCAUGGAUGGCUUUGCGGUGCAUUAGCUAGUUGGUGGGGUAACGGCCCACCAAGGCGACGAUGCAUAGCCGACCUGAGAGGGUGAUCGGCCACACUGGGACUGAGACACGGCCCAGACUCCUACGGGAGGCAGCAGUAGGGAAUCUUCCACAAUGGACGAAAGUCUGAUGGAGCAACGCCGCGUGAACGAUGAAGGCUUUCGGGUCGUAAAGUUCUGUUGUAAGGGAAGAACAAGUGCCGCAGGCAAUGGCGGCACCUUGACGGUACCUUGCGAGAAAGCCACGGCUAACUACGUGCCAGCAGCCGCGGUAAUACGUAGGUGGCAAGCGUUGUCCGGAAUUAUUGGGCGUAAAGCGCGCGCAGGCGGCCUCUUAAGUCUGAUGUGAAAGCCCCCGGCUCAACCGGGGAGGGCCAUUGGAAACUGGGAGGCUUGAGUAUAGGAGAGAAGAGUGGAAUUCCACGUGUAGCGGUGAAAUGCGUAGAGAUGUGGAGGAACACCAGUGGCGAAGGCGACUCUUUGGCCUAUAACUGACGCUGAGGCGCGAAAGC